AAUGAGGCUCGUCCUACUUUAGGACACGUCCCACCUGCCUAUAAAUUAUAGUACCCAUUUAGCAAUCUUUAAGAGUUGAGCAGAGAAACCGAAGAGAGAAGAGUUGAGUUGAGAGCCAGAGAAGCAGAGUUAGAGAAGUCAGAGUAAAGUUUGAAGAGUUACAAGCUUACUUGGAGUUGUAUUUCUUUAAUCCCCGGAGACGAGAUCAGACUUGGACGAGUUGAUUGUAAUAAACGCUGUUAAAUCAAGCUUGGAUGACUGUUCUACACUGUGGUUGACACUAAAACGAGCCCACUGCACACUUCCCACAAGUCGCUGCUUUGGAACCGCUUACAAUAGACUAAGACGUGUGUUACGCAUGAUGCGUCUCGAUUCCAUCUAGUGCUCGGCGGAUAAUAACAGAAUACUGGCAUAGCAAUUAAUGCCCGAACUUACGACGCUAGCAGGCCCCACUCGCUCAUUAAGCCGUCACAUUCGUUACAGGAGCCCCGAGGGUGUUCCACGUGGGCUGUACAAUAAACAUACAAUCGAAAAUGGUAAACCCGGACCCCAUUUUAAAACACACCCGAAAGACCCCAUAAAAAAUGUACAGACGUACCCCCAGGCGAUCCACGCAGACCCCAUUAAGAGUGUACAGUCGUGCCGUGGAAAGAAACGGUCCACGCGGACCCCAUAAGAGCGUACACACAUACCCCGCAAACGGUAGACGCGGAACCAAUAAAAAAGUACACACGUAUUUCGCAAACGGUCGACGCGGACCCAAUAAAAAAGUACACACAGACCCAGUAAACGGUAGACGCGGACCCAAUAAAAAAGUACACACGUACCCAGCAAACGUGGCCCCCGGCACAGGAGGAACGGGCAACACUCCUGUUGUUGGGGUAUUAAAGUUGCCUACUAGAGUUGAUGUAUUCUCGCAAGGCAAAGCGUAUGCGAGAAAAAGUUACAGGCCAUAGAUUCUGGAGUAGAUUACAUCAGGGCAUUGAAAUGUUUUCCUUUGGCGCAAUAAAUUGAUGCGAAACGGAUUGGGAAGAGAGCUGUUGAGAGAUGGAAAGUUCGGAUCCGAAUGAUCUAAAAAAGUGGGAUAUCAGUGAGAAUAACAGUCCAUAAUUAUGGACCUGAUGAAGUAUGUGAGACAGUCUGAGAGGUAGGUUGAUGGUGAGAAUGAUGUGAGUGGGGCUGACUUGGGCAA